AGCUCCCGCAUCAGCCACAACAUGCUCCACCAUGGUAGCAGACAUCUUGAAAUCCUGCGCAUCCAAUCAAACGCAGGAAGUACGUCACUUCUCGCGUUCUUCCGGGAAACCUGAAGCUGUUCAUUUGGGAUCCAAGAACUUAUUGCUGAUUAUUACAACCAAUUCAGGAUGAGGGUCUCCACAGGGGCAGUACCAUCAAGCUGGGACAAGGUCAAGAUUGGCUUCAUUGCAUGGUGCACUGUCUCCAAGACACUAUUUUCUCUUGACAUGAACUUGUUCACUAAGUUUGCUGAACUAGAGUGGAGAGGGCCCAGAAUGAGAUCUGUGCAAGGCAACCAUCCAUUAUGACACUCAUGACACCCUACCCAGAAUCUUGUGGUCCCUACUUGUCUAUGCAGUCCCACUCUCAACCAAAGAGACCUUGGAGAGAAAGGUCAGUAGUCAUCUCAGGAGAUGGCUGGGGCUGCCAAAGAGCCUGAACAGCAUUGCAUGCUACAGUCCUAACAACAAACUUCAACUGUCCUUCAAAUCCUUGGAGGAAGAAUUCAAGAUAUUAAGAGCAGAAAAGUGGUACAGCAGAGAGAUUCAUGUGUUCAGAUGAUGGCUAACCUGUAGUUGAGGGGGAGGUGAGAGCAGCAGUGGAGGAGAAGAUGUUGAGAGGAAAAUGACUUAGUCCGAGCUCUGGAAAGCCGAGCCUCACCACAUUGGAUUUCUCAUUCAGACAGUAUACAAUGUGCUUCCAAGCCCAUCAAAUCUGCACACUUAUGGCAUUACAGACACCAGCAUGCCCAAUGUGUUCCAAGUGAGGGACCCUAGAACACAUUAUAAGCAGAUGUACGAGGGCACUUGGAGAGGGAAGGUAUCAAUGGAGGUACAAUCAGGAUCUGAGGACCAUCGCGGAAGCAAUCAGCAAAGGACUUGAAUGGUCAAAGCGGUGCCGACCCUCAAAGAUUAUCAUAUCUUCAUCAGAACUGGAGAGCAGCCAAAUCCUGCCAAGAGAUCAUCAUCUGCAGGAUUUUUUUUGCAUUAGUAAGAGACUGGCAGUUGUUGGUGGAACUAGAUUAGUUAAUUAUUUGUUUAAUUGUUGAAUGUCUGAGUGAUUCGUUUUUCUUUAAUUGUGUUUAUUUAUUUUCGCAGUCCAUACGUCACUUUUACCUGUGGCUGGAGGGGUUUGUAAUCGGAAGGGAUACAUCUGUUUAUUUUUUUAAUUUAUAUUCUUUCGGAUGUUGCUUUUUUGGUGUGUGAUACCCCGUAAUUAUGAAAGUUAAUCCGCAUUUCUGUUGUUGAAGUGCUGUCACGAGUGUUUAUUAUUUUCUUGCAUAAUUAUCCCCUCUGUGAUAUGGAUUAAUCCAUAUCCCUGGUUCAAGGGGCAAGAAACCCUAUUUUUCUUUCCUUUCAACACAUGGCGCGCGGGUGUAAGGUAUGUGUGGUCUGCUCCCUAAUUUUCUUUGCUUUUUAUUUUAUAUGUAUACAUUUGUAAUCUCUCUGUUCAGGAAUAAACUCAUAACUGUUGA